rnacentral:rRNA from 1 species
GAGUAACGCGUGGGUAACCUGCCUCACACUGGGGGAUAACAGUUAGAAAUAGCUGCUAAUACCGCAUAAGCGCACAGCUCUGCAUGGAGCAGUGUGAAAAACUCCGGUGGUGUGAGAUGGACCCCGCGUCUGAUUAGCCAGUUGGCGGGGUAACGGCCCACCAAAGCGACGAUCAGUAGCCGGCCUGAGAGGGUGAACGGCCACAUUGGGACUGAGACACGGCCCAAACUCCUACGGGAGGCAGCAUG